UACAGAGGCCCCAAGCAUUAUCCGGAAUCAUUGGGCGUAAAGGGUGUCUAGGCGGCCAUAUUAGUCUCUCGUCAAAUCCGUGGGCUCAACCUGCGGUUCGCGAGGGAAACGGUAUGGCUCGAGGGCGUGAGAGGUGCAUGGAACUCAUGGUGGAGGGGUGAAAUCCGUUGAUAUCAUGGGGAACACCAAAGGCGAAGGCAAUGCACUGGUACGUUCCUGACGCUCAAACACGAAAGCCAGGGUAGCGAAGAGG
rnacentral:rRNA from 1 species